rnacentral:rRNA from 1 species
UACGUAGGCAGCGAGCGUUGUUCGGAGUUACUGGGCGUAAAGGGUGUGUAGGCGGUUGUUUAAGUUUGGUGUGAAAUCUCCCGGCUCAACUGGGAGGGUGCGCCGAAUACUGAAUGACUUGGAGUGCGGGAGAGGAGAGUGGAAUUCCUGGUGUAGCGGUGAAAUGCGUAGAUAUCAGGAGGAACACCGGUGGUGCAGACGGCUCUCUGGACCGUAACUGACGCUGAGACACGAAAGCGUGGGUAGCAAACAGG